CCGGGGGCCAGGAGGAGUGGGGCACGUGGGGCUUGGGCGCCCCUCCCUUAGGAGCCUGGGCCCAGGACGCGGGAAGCAAGACACGGCCCUGAAGACCCCUGAAGACGCGGCGCCGCCCGCCAGCCCUGCACCUGCUGGAGACCAGGUCGGCGAGGGCCCGGGAGCGAGGCUGGCCCGGCUGCGCAGGAUCUCCAGCUCCCGGAAGACGUUGCGCACCUCGUCGCGCUCGAUGCACUGCUGCUUGUUCAUGUACUUCAUGGCGUACAUCUUCCCCGUGUCCCGCUUCUGCACGAUGCACACCUGGAGGGCAGGGCAUCUCAGCAGGAGGCCGGAGCCGCGCUCGCUGCCCCUCCCAGGGCAGGCCGGACCCCCACCUGAGAGCAGCCACGUGGGGGCCCGUGGGGGUGUGCCGGUGGUGCCCCUGCGCCUCGCCAGCCCUGGCCUGGGCAGGUGAGCUCCCCUCCCAUCACCCCACGGCUUAGAGCAGGCUUGGGGGGCUGCUGGAGAAUUAACAAGAGCCAGAGGAGGCCCCCGGGAAGCCCCAUAAACGAGAGCUGCUCUUCUCACGAGAAUAACAGAACUUCUGUGACGGUUCAGGCCCAGAGCCAACAUUCACUUCCCCACAGGGACCCCACGCCGGGAGAGGGUUCCCCAGAGUAAGCCCCCGGUGCACUGAGCUGCAGGUGCACCGCCGACUACUCAGCAGAGACGGGGCGUGCAAGGUGUGUGAUUAGAGGAGCAGGUGCUGGGGCCCUGGGGGCCAAAGGAAGGUCUGGAAGGAGCAGAAGCCGGGGUGUCUGGAGGAGUGGGAGAUUCUGGAACUCAGGGUGAGCCUGGGACCCUCCCAGGUGUCUCACCCAAAGGCAGCUGGGCCUGGAACUGACCAGACACCUCAACAGACAUCAGAGUCUCAGCCAAACCUGCUGGCUCCAGCCCUUUGGUGAAACCCACUCUCCAUGUCCUAGGAACGCAUCAAAGAAAAGGUGUCUAGGGCAAUGGCUGGGGCUCAACCAAUUGGGCUCCCAUCUACCAUAUAGGAGGUCCAGGGUUUGAUGCCCAGGGCCUCCUGGUGAGGGCAAGUUGACCUACACAGCGAGCUGGCCCACGCGGAGUGCCAGCCCACAGUGAAAUGCAACCCCGUGCAGGAGAGCCAGCCGAUGCAGAGAGUUGGCACAGCAAGAUAAUGCAACAAAAGACACAGAGGAGAGAAAGUAAGCAGGACAGGGAGUUGAGGUGGCAAAAGAGAGUAACUGCCUCUCUCCCACUCUAGAAGGUCCCAGGAUCAGUUCCCAGAGCCACCUGAUGAGAAUACAAGCAGACACAGAAAAACACACAGCGAAUAGACACAGAGUGCAGACAACAAGGGUAACGGGUGGGAGGGAAAUAAAUAAAAUAAAUCUUUAAAAAAGAAAUGGUGUCUGAAGAUGUUCACUGCAGUUUUACUUAGAGCAGCAGGACCAUAUCGUCUAAUGGCCUUAUGUACACAGAUCUGUAAACUCAACUGUCAAGCAGCUGAUGCAAAAA
rnacentral:lncRNA from 1 species